GUUGGAGGGGACCGCUGGUUGCCGACAGAGCCAUAUGGACGACUUGUUGGUUACGCUGUUCCACAACUUGGCACAGCAUCCAGAGACUGGCACUGGCACAUGUCGGCCGCAGGCUUGCGGUGACGCUUACAGCAGGACACUGAAGAGAUGGCACGGCUGGUUGGGUUGGCCACUUCGAGCUUUUCGGACGAACAAGUUCAUGGAGAUCAUCAGCGUGGUUCAGGCGCAUCAACGCUGAUAUUGACAAGCCAGCGUGGGCAUGGACGAUCUUAAGGCAUCCUAAUCAUCUAUCUAACACUUAUGACUUUACUUUUGCCAGGCUUACACAGAAACAACCAUCGAUCUGUCGAUAAUUUGUUUGUAUCGUUGGUUAUAUGACUGUCAAGUGUAACACCGUCUUCAGCAGCUCUCCUAUCACAUCCCCUAUCUGAUACCUCUAUUUCAAACUUCACUCUAUAACCAGUAUCAAAUAGUAUCAUCUACAUUACCAUACCGUAUCCCUAUUUUACACGAUCCACCGAACACAACCUUAUACCCUCUUAUAUCCAUAAAAGUUUGUUCAACCUCUGCUUUGUGUUUGCAUUAUAUCGUGGUUGUUUCAGCCUCCCUAGUAAGAGUCUGUAACUAGGGCUAGAUAUCGAGCUAGCUUGACUCGUUUACGAACUUAAGCUAGCUCGUGAGCCACAACAGAAAAAACAAUAUAUAUAUAUAUAUAUAAUUAAUUUUUAAUUAAUUCUAAACUAAUUUAACUAUAGUAAAUGAUAAUUAUACUCAUAGUUUCACAUACCACAUCAAUGCAACACCAAAUUAACAUAACUCAUCACUCAUCAAUUCAUCACCAAUUCAUAAUCCACACACAUGUUUAUCACUUUAACCCAUAGUCACAGUCGCACAGACCAAUUUAACACAUAGAUACGGUUCGUCAAUCAUUAGUUUAAUUCAUAAUCCAUAGGCACCGCACAUACGUAUAGCAUGUUCAACAAUUUCAAGCGUAAAUGAUAUGCAUAUUGUUUCGUUUUACUAAAGUGUGAUAGUUCGUUGAGCUCGCGAGCUGGCUUGUUAAUAAACUGAGCUAGGAUGUUAGCUCAGCUCGUGAAAACAUUCAAACGAGCUGAACUGACCAUGAACCGAGCGAGCCGACAAGUCACGAGUAUUUUGUCCAGCA
rnacentral:lncRNA from 1 species